CAUUGUAGUAAGAUGCAAUUUAAACCUGGUUAUACUACUAACACUUUGACUGGAAUGUCUUGUUUUCAGAUAUAGUCAAAUAUGUCACUAGCUUUAAGGCACAGACUGACUAUAUAAUACAAGCCCAGUAGAAAUUACCUCACAUCUGAUCUGCAUGAUUCCCUUACAGGGUUUCUGACCUUGCAGUAAGUAAAGAAUGUUCAUUUUUGAGAAGCCCAGGAAAUACCUACUUUUGAAGGACACCUUGAGGAGACAGCAAUUCAUCCAAAAUGUGGAGUUUUCUGAAACUGUGGCACGAACUGUAUGACUACAAAAUGGAAGGAUGUUAUCUACACCUGCCAUGUUUUUAUAGUUCUGAAAAAUGUUUUAAAAGGCUCAAAUAUGGUUCAGGCUAGCCUUGAACCCAGGUGUGCCUUGAACUGACAGAAUCCUCUUACCUCAGUCUCCAAGUGCUGGAAAUACAGACAAGUGUCACCAAGCCCAGUUUCAUUCAUUCUUUGAACAUCAAAUUCUUAACAAUGUAUUGUGGAAAAUUUGCAGUAUAUGAAUUCAUAAGGACUGACAUAUAAAAUGAACUAAGAAUUCUACACAUAUGAGCUUUGAAGAAGAAAGAAACAGUAGAG
rnacentral:lncRNA from 1 species